rnacentral:rRNA from 1 species
UACGUAGGGGGCAAGCGUUGUCCGGAAUCAUUGGGCGUAAAGAGCGUGUAGGCGGCUCGAUAAGUCCGCUGUGAAAGUCCAGGGCUUAACCCUGGAAAGCCGGUGGAAACUGUCGAGCUAGAGUCCGGAAGGGGCGAGUGGAAUUCCUGGUGUAGCGGUGAAAUGCGCAGAUAUCAGGAGGAACACCAAUGGCGAAGGCAGCUCGCUGGGACGGUACUGACGCUGAGACGCGAAAGCGUGGGGAGCAAACAGG